CCCACCCCUACCCCACCAAGGAGCCUGUCCUAAGGGCUGGGCCCCACUGCAAGCUGGCCUAAGGGCCCCUGGCUUUAUUUCCAGGGAAGAGAUUGGGCGUGGAUGCAUGUGCAGACGUGGAUGUGUGUGCAUGCAUAUGUGUUUACCCGCCAGGGACUUCCUUUUUCCUCUCUCCUUCCUGUGAAUUCCUGGGUCCCAGGUGCGCCCGCUCACUCUACAAUGUCC
rnacentral:lncRNA from 1 species